rnacentral:rRNA from 1 species
AGAGUUUGAUCCUGGCUCAGAAUGAACGCUGGCGGCAGGCCUAACACAUGCAAGUCGAACGGAACCUUCGGGUUCAGUGGCGGACGGGUGAGUAACGUGUGGGAACAUACCCUUUGGUACGGAAUAGCCUCGGGAAACUGGGAGUAAUACCGUAUGUGGUCGCAAGACGAAAGAUUUAUCGCCAAAGGAUUGGCCCGCGUUGGAUUAGGUAGUUGGUGGGGUAAUGGCCUACCAAGCCGACGAUCCAUAGCUGGUUUGAGAGGAUGAUCAGCCACACUGGGACUGAGACACGGCCCAGACUCCUACGGGAGGCAGCAGUGGGGAAUCUUAGACAAUGGGCGCAAGCCUGAUCUAGCCAUGCCGCGUGAUCGAUGAAGGCCUUAGGGUUGUAAAGAUCUUUCAGAUGGGAAGAUAAUGACGGUACCAUCAGAAGAAGCCCCGGCUAACUCCGUGCCAGCAGCCGCGGUAAUACGGAGGGGGCUAGCGUUAUUCGGAAUUACUGGGCGUAAAGCGCACGUAGGCGGACUUGAAAGUUGGGGUGAAAGCCCAGGGCUCAACCCUGGAACUGACCUC